AGUCUGGUAGCUCGUCGGGCUCAUAACCCGAAGGUCCCAAGUUCGAAUCUUGGCCCCGCUACCA
rnacentral:tRNA from 1 species